rnacentral:tRNA from 1 species
AGUCUUAUAUUCAAUAAUGAUAUAAAAUUGCAAAUUUUAAGGAGUAAUAUCAAUUUACUAAGGCUU